GUUAUCGUAGCUUACAUUAAAGCAUGGCACUGAAGACGCCAAGAUGGUUAUUAUAUACCCGAAUAACA
rnacentral:tRNA from 1 species